CCUACGGGAGGCUGCAGUGGGGAAUAUUGGACAAUGGGGGCAACCCUGAUCCAGCCAUGCCGCGUGUGUGAAGAAGGCCCUCGGGUUGUAAAGCACUUUCAGUGAGGAAGAACGCCUAGUGGUUAAUACCCAUCAGGAAAGACAUCAUUCACAGAAGAAGCACCGGCUAACUCCGUGCCAGCAGCCGCGGUAAUACGGAGGGUGCGAGCGUUAAUCGGAAUUACUGGGCGUAAAGCGCGCGUAGGUGGCUUGAUAAGCCGGUUGUGAAAGCCCCGGGCUCAACCUGGGAACGGCAUCCGGAACUGUCAAGCUAGAGUGCAGGAGAGGAAGGUAGAAUUCCCGGUGUAGCGGUGAAAUGCGUAGAGAUCGGGAGGAAUACCAGUGGCGAAGGCGGCCUUCUGGACUGAAACUGACACUGAGGUGCGAAAGCGUGGGUAGCAAACAGGAUUAGAUACCCCGGUAGUC
rnacentral:rRNA from 1 species